GUUUUCUCUCGUGUGAUUGGUCACUGGACUGAACACAGAUCCACAUCAGACGUCCUCCAGGAAACAGGAAGGAGAUUUUCAAUCUAACUGAGAGAAAGACUGAAGUCCAGCAGAUGAGUGAUUGUGUGGAGGAAGACGAGGACAGAGCAGAGUCUCCAGGACCCAGCGGUCUGUCUGUGAAGAGUGACUGGUCUAUGGGACACCCUCCAGUCUUCAGUCAUGAACCUGGAGCCUCAGAGACAAAGCUGGGGUCCCGGAAUGUCAAACCUGAUGCCCUGUCACGACUCUAUGAUCCCGAGCCUAUUGCCAAAUAACCAGAACCCAUCCUUCCACUGACCUGUGUGGUUGGAGCGGUCACUUGGCAGAUAGAAAAGGAGGUUAAGCAGGCAAAUGGUGAGGAUCCGCCACCUAGUGGGUGCCCCGAUAAUCGAUUGAUAGUCCCGGUCAAGCUGCGCCCACAGGUGAUCCACUGGGCCCACACCUCGCUGCU